rnacentral:lncRNA from 1 species
CAUGGUUGUAUUUGUACAUGCUAGACUUACUUGCGAUGAUGAUCCGGUUUUACGUCGACAUUACUGAGCUAAUAGAAGUUAAAGAAGUUAUGUAAUUGUAUUUUUAAGGUUAUAUAUACUCGUGUACAAGCUGAGAACCUUGAUACGUUGGUCGGGCUACGGUUUGAAUUCUUGAUGUUUUGUUGGACUGUUUCUAUGCUAAAGC